rnacentral:rRNA from 1 species
GACGAACGCUGGCGGCGUGCCUAAUACAUGCAAGUAGGACGCAGUCGCGAACGAGUUAGUAACGCGUAGGUCACUACCGAUUAGAGGGGGUUAACAAUUGGAAACGAUAGCUAAUACCGCAUACUAGUAGAUGUACCUGCUUUGUAUUAGCUAGUAGGUAGGGUAAUGGCCUUCCUAGGCAACGAUACAUAGCCGACCUGAGAGGGUGCUCGUGCACAAUGGGAACGGGACCCUGCCCAGGACUCUUCAGGAGGGAGCCUGAGGGAAUCAUCGGCAAUGGGGGGAAAGCUUGCCGCGCCACGCCGCGUGAGUGGAGAAGGUUUUCGGAUCGUAAAGCUCUGUUGUUAUGGGAGCGGUACUUAACCAGAAAGGGCCGGCUAACUACGUGCCAGCCGCCGCGGUAAUUC